rnacentral:rRNA from 1 species
GUGUGGAUAGGGGAGAAAUUCCAAUCGAACCCGGAGAUAGCUGGUUCUCCUCGAAAUAGCUUUAGGGCUAGCCUCAUGCAAGUCUUACGGAGGUAGAGCACUGAAUUCCUAAGGGGGCGUCAAAGCUUACCAAGGGAUAUCAAACUCCGAAUGCCGUGUAGAUGGUGCAUGGGAGUCAGACUAUCCGAGAUAAGUUGGGUAGUCAAAAGGGAAAGAGCCCAGACCUACAGCUAAGGUCCCAAAAUGUGUGUUAAGUGGAAAAGGAUGUGGGAUUUCGAAGACAACUAGGAUGUUGGCUUAGAAGCAGCCAUCCAUUAAAAGAGUGCGUAAUAGCUCACUAGUCGAGAGGUCCUGCGCCGAAAAUGUCCGGGGCUGAAACACACUACCGAAGCUUGGGAAUUGACGAAUGUUAAUUGGUAGAGGAGCAUUCUUAACGGGGCGAAGCUGUACCGGAAGGAGCAGUGGACUGUUAAGAAGAGAGAAUGCCGGAAUGAGUAGCGAGAGGAAGGUGAGAAUCCUUCCGGCCGAAUAUCUAAGGUUUCCAGAGUAAAGCUGAUCUGCUCUGGGUAAGUCGGGGCCUAAGGCGAGGUCGAAAGACGUAGUCGAUGGAUAACAGGUAAAGAUUCCUGUACUAUAUCAUAACAGAACUGUGGGGACGCAGACAGAGAGCAUAAGCCGGGAAUGGAAAAACCGGUACAAGCGAGGUAGGAGUGCAUCAGGCAAAUCCGGUGCACAAUCUGAAGACGUGAUGUGGGGCGUAAAGCCGGAAGUAUGUGAGCUGGCUGCCAAGAAAAGCCGCUAUUGUUUAUGAUAUACCCGUACCGUAAACCGACACAGGUGGAUGAGGAGAGAAUCCUAAGGCCGACGGGAGAAGCAUUGUUAAGGAACUCGGCAAAAUGACUCCGUAACUUCGGGAGAAGGAGUGCCAUGUAAAAGUGGCCGCAGAGAAUUGGCCCAAGCAACUGUUUAGCAAAAACACAGGUCUAUGCAAAACCGAAAGGUGAGGUAUAUGGGCUGACGCCUGCCCGGUGCUGGAAGGUUAAGGGGAGAGGUUAGUCGUAAGGCGAAGCUUUGAACUUAAGCCCCAGUAAACGGCGGCCGUAACUAUAACGGUCCUAAGGUAGCGAAAUUCCUUGUCGGGUAAGUUCCGACCCGCACGAAAGGCGUAAUGAUUUGGGCACUGUCUCAACAAUGCACCCGGUGAAAUUGAAAUACCAGUGAAGAUGCUGGUUACCUGCGCCAGGACGGAAAGACCCCAUGGAGCUUUACUCCAGCUUGAUACUGGGAUUCGAUAUUGCAUGUACAGGAUAGGUGGGAGACUGAGAACUGAUGACGCCAGUUGUCAGGGAGUCACUGUUGGGAUACCACCCUUGUAGUAUUGGAUUUCUAACCAGCAGCCGUGAACCGGCUGGGGGACAAUGUCAGGUGGGGAGUUUGACUGGGGCGGUCGCCUCCGAAAGGGUAUCGGAGGCGCUCAAAGGUUCCCUCAGAAUGGUUGGAAACCAUUCGAAGAGUGCAAAGGCAGAAGGGAGCUUGACUGCGACACCGACGGGUGGAGCAGGUACGAAAGUAGGACUUAGUGAUCCGGUGGUAUAAAGUGGGAUUGCCAUCGCUCAACGGAUAAAAGCUACCCUGGGGAUAACAGGCUUAUCACUCCCAAGAGUUCACAUCGACGGAGUGGUUUGGCACCUCGAUGUCGGCUCAUCGCAUCCUGGGGCUGAAGUAGGUCCCAAGGGUUGGGCUGUUCGCCCAUUAAAGCGGUACGCGAGCUGGGUUCAGAACGUCGUGAGACAGUUCGGUCCCUAUCCGGCGUGGGCGUAGGAUAUUUGAGAGGAGCUGCCCUUAGUACGAGAGGACCGGGGUGGACUGGCCGCUGGUGGAUCUGUUGUAUUACCAAAUGCAUAGCAGAGUAGCCAAGCCGGGACGGGAUAAACGCUGAAGGCAUCUAAGCGUGAAGCCCCCCUCAAGAUGAGAUAUCCCAUAACGUCAAGUUAGUAAGACCCCUUGAAGACGACAAGGUAGAUAGGACAGAGGUGGAAGUGCAGUAAUGUAUGCAGCUGACUGUUACUAAUCGGUCGAGGGCAUAACCAA